AUCUGGCUGGCUCAGUCAGUAGAGCAUGGGACUCUUGAUCUCAGGGUUGUGAGUUCAAGCCCCACAACAGGUA
rnacentral:tRNA from 1 species